CCGUGUUUUAGGCCAGUGGCCAUCAGUGUCAAUGGUAUCAGUAUUGAGCAUUGCACACAGCUCAGCAUCCUUUGUUUUCGGUGCCAAUGCUGGACAAACAGUGUUUUUCCUUUAAAAAAAUGACAAGUAAAGGUUUUUAAACAUUUAAAGUGUCUGGGCCACAGUUCUCAUGGUUGCGCAGUUUUUAGCAUAAGAAUAAAGUUUUAUGUCUUACUGAUGCUAAAUUAACAGCUAGUUUAUGAAAAUUUUCUUUAAUUUAAAAGAUAUUAACGUUUAAAAAAUCAAAUUUCAAAGUUGUAAAAAACGUCACUCGCAGGCACUGUGAGGUAACAAUACAAUAUUUCGUUUAUGGGAAAAACCCGGCCUAUUAGCGGUUUACGGUUUAUUGGUGCAGUUUUGAUAGAUAAGCAAAUCAAAGCGUUUUUUUAAGGUAUUAACAAUACUUUAAAUGGCUCCAGCAACUUAUUGGAAGUUAUUUCCUGGGGAUCAGUGUAACCACACAAAAUAGCCUACCAAGCUUUGUGGAGAAUUUUUUUUCGUUUUUUCCCCAUAUGGCAUAGACUAUAUUUAUAUCUGUAGUUAAAGAUAUCUUAUAGGAGUUUACCAUAAGUCGAGUAAUCAUGCCUGAUUGGUACUGUGUUUAAAAAAAAGACAAGAAAGACUAAACCGAUAAUAAGUAUAUAUAUAGCCUAAUAUAGGUGUGUGUGUUUUCAUUUUUAAAAGGAAGAGUGGGGCUUAGAAAAAAGCAAGCAACAUUACAUUGGUAUGCUGGUCAUCCCAUAUUUGUAGUGCACAUUUUACUUCAGAUGGUUUUACUAUGAUAUGUUCCCAUUAGGACAUGCAAAGAAACUUGUUCGGAUCAAGUAAGCAGCAUUUACUUGGAGAGCGCAGAAGAAACAAAUCCACCAUCUGUCAUUCCGGUACCUAUCGAACAAAGUUCUGAUCAGCUGUGUAGCGAUACUGUCUAAACAAAAUAAAUGCCAUAAACAUGUGAUUGAACAUCUUCUUGGUAUGAAGGCAAACAAUAAAUACUAUAUUGGUGUAAAUUGAUUUCACUAAAUUUGUAUUCCAUGCUCGGGUCUCAGUCAAGAAUAUCAUAUUUGCAACAUGUCACGGUUGGCUGACUGCCAAAUUUAUUUAAGUUUAAAUAUCUAUGUUUCUUUGCUUCAUUGAGUUUUUUUACGUGGCAAUCUCAGUUUAUUCUUGGCGCAUAAUUUUGAUUUCAUUUAAGUAAAGGAUUGGCACUAGAGGUCAGAGGUUACAUUCUCUACGUGAUUACCCACGAUUGUGUGUACACGAUUGUUUGUAUUAUUAUUUGCAACUUUUAAACGCC